UUACCCCUUUAUUCUAAUACCCAUAUAUAAAAUCAGUGCUUUUUCAUAGAUAUACUGACAAAAUAAUCUUUUUAUUUAAAAAAGAAUUGAAUUCCUCUACAUUCAUUCCCACUUAAAAUGUCUCAAAUUACGCAAUUAAAUUGCACUUUUCAAACAUCAGAUAUGCAAUUUAUUAUGCUCCUGACUACUGAAGUGAGAGUGAACAUAAUAUAAUCCUUUGGUGCUUAGAUUUUUUGUUUAUUUUCUCUUUUUGAUCAUUUUUUAUUGUUUGUUUUCUUACGUCAUGUCAUUUUAGUUUAUUCCUUGUGUUAGUUCAGUAAUCUCAUUCUUUGUGUUUUGGAUUUGCUCCACUAGAUUAAUAUUAAUAUUUAUCCCUGUUAAUGUUCAGGUAUCCCUCUGCCCCCUUUCAUUGUUUUUUUUUUUUUUCUGUUUGUUUUUCACUUCUCCUCAGCUUCCAUUCUGGUCCCCAUUCCAGCUGUUAGUCAUUUCCUCAUUUGUCUCUACCUGCUCCCUUCCACAGCUGCAUCUGCUUACCUGUAAUUAGCUCUUCUGGUUUUUAGUCUCUCGCUAUUUUUGAACUGAAAGUGUCUGUCUCUACCAUCACAAAGAGAUUAGUUUCCCUUUCAAAGGAGAUGUGUAAAGAGGAAAUUUUUGCUCUCUAUUGCCCUAACCUUAUAGCUCUAAUUCAUGGAAGAUAAAGCAAAGAAGCCACAGCAAACUAGACAAACACGAGCACAAACACCUUCCCCCAGCUCCUCCACCGCCCCGCCUCCAUAUCCCAUGUGGGUAGUUGCAUCAGGAGCCUCUGACUGUUGUCAUGGAGCGAAACAUCCCCCAAAGGCCUCGGCGGGAUCACGCAGCCUUCCCUUUGCCUCCAACAGGCGACGUUAAAAAGCACCCUGCCAAGCUGCCAGCUGCCUUCCACAGGUGUUGUCAACAGGCAGAGGAAACAAGGAGGGGAGGCAGGGAAACAAACACAGACAGACCCUCUUCUUACAGAUGCUCACCGUGUCGGGUGCGUGUUCUCGGCACGGCCCCUGCUUACUUUCGCAGUCUGCAGCUGCAUCGCUGCCGAUCGCGUAGCAACCCCAGCUGGCGUCAUCAUCGGUACCCACAGGAGAUUUGGCAGCACACAAACACUGGCUGCAUGGAUGCACAACCAGCAGGCCAGAAAGAAAGCUGGCGCUUGGUCUAAAACAGCAAUUUCACCAGUCAACUUAAGCGUCUUAAAAGAGAUCAAAUGCUCGAUCUGAUGGUUUGAUCCACAUUGUUGGGCAGAUACAGUACUUGUCACUUCAGAGAAACCAGACACAAAACACACCCCAGGUUCAUCUUGGAAUGUAACACUGGAAAAGCAUGCAGGAACAUCGCAGGAGAAUGAAGAGUCAACAAGCAUUGAUUCUGAUCCCUUCUCUGAGUUCACAUUGCGAUGGAACAGCAAGUCCCCCCAUUAGUUGCAGUGCACUCAAACUCAGUUAUAUAGGAUUAUUAAGUCAAUGUGUUUUGUACACCACCCAUUAGAGGUUUCCUGAAACUAGCUAGGAGAACCAAGGAUCUCUGGCAACACCAUAGAGUCCCUGAAGAGGACUUGGUAAAUGCAGGAUGGAUUUUUUGAAGCAGAGGGCUUGGUUUGAUUUUAAACCAAAAUUGCAACAUUUGUUAAAACAAUAUGUAACCCUCUGAAGAAGACACUGAGGGAAGCUUUCAUCAGAUGAUUGUAGGAUUUCUCUUUUGCCUUUGUCAAAUGUACCAAAGAACACUCUUCAACAAUAAGAUGAGGCAGAAGGCCAUAGAGAAUGUUGCGCAGCACCAGUCCACUUCCUGCUUGUGGAGGAAUCUCUGGUCUGCUUGGCAUUCACAUAUGAACCACACCAGAGUUCAGUUCGACCGAGCGAAGACCGAAGUUUGUAGGAGGACCAGGUGUUGUUUUGGUCUGCAAUAGAGCUCAAUUGAGCAUUCAGAGCUAGAAAAGCAAACUGGAGCAAAUGAGCUGGAGUUGGGUUAAAACAGACUGAACUGACUGGUGUGAACACACCUGCUGAAACAUUAACAUUACUGUAUCUGUGAAGUGGGCAGAAGGGUUGUUUUUAUAAUAAGAAAGUUUAUUCUGGAUGGAAGAUGAUUUUGUGCACUAACGUCAAAACUUUUCACCCUGAGGGGCAAAAUCCCCAAAAACUCCAGCACCCAGAUCUUCAAUCUCUACAUAAAUGUUGCUUGAUGUGUGUGGUUUGUAGAAAAUCUAAAGCCAGGCCUUUGUCACCACAAGAUGAUGAAAACAUCUAAAUCUUUACUUUAAAGGAAGUCACAUAUUCAAAGUAAAGGAUCAGACUUUGUCUAACAGAAGGCAGAAUGCUCGCCUACCAUAGUAAUGUGUGCAGCACAAUUAAAGAGCCAGGACAAAUACACACAGACAGACUGGAAUCAGCAGUCAGCUAAUGGUCAGAAUGGGGGCAGUCUGCUUCCUGAAUUGUUAAUAAACCCUCUCUGAGACGGAGGGUUUGAUUGAUUGGUGCAGACCUGUAACAAUGUGAUCUUUAUUUCUGCUCUCAAACUCAUUUACCUUUUCUGUCUCUACUGUUCAGUUCCUCCUUCUUCCUCCUGCUUUAUCAGCAGCGGCUCCCAAAAAGCCUUGAUGAAUCGUCUCUGAAUGUUGGAGCGCAGCUAUGGAGUCCAAACACCACAUUCAUCACUGGUUCUCACCAGGAAGAGUCAUUUUUACAUCGGUGUUUGCUCACUGUAGAUUUUUAUCAGCUUCUGUUUGAAUGGCUGUUGUGGACGAUUACCAUCUGUGUGUGUAGGUGUGUGUGUGUGUUCUGAGAUGUUCUAAAUGGGUAUGCAUGUCCACUAUGCUGUCUUUAUCACACCCGACUUCAGGAUAGCAAUCGGUUUUUGCUUGUGCUCUUGCCUGGUAGAUAAUUAUCACUUGGUAUGUGUGUGUGCAUGGUUUUUCUAUUUGUCUGUGAGUCACGUCUCAGACAGACAGGUAAACACACCACCUCUCAUCUUGUUGACUUCACCUAAGCUUCCAGAUUGUAUUUUGACAGCGCCGAUCGUCUUGUACCAAAUCCUGGAAUCCUGCACCAGACACGACGCCUCCAGGAUCUUAUUAAACAGAAAAGGGAUACAGGAGUGAAGAAGUGGCACAAAAUAAAAUGGACGUGCAGCAUGGAGUAGAGUACUCGUUAUUAGAAAUGACUGGCUGUUUUUGUACAGGAAGGUCAAUGUGGAUAAGGGGAGAGACAGAGAUGUUUAGCAGCAAAGUGCUUUCUAAUGUGUUGUCAAGGCCGAGACGAAGACGAUAAGAUAGCGAUCCCUGGCAGCUGUGUGAGUCUGGUUGCCAGAGAGCUUCUCCAGCUAAUCUAUGCACACCAGAGAUGGGGAGCCGAACAGCCAGAGAUCAUUGAGAUGAGCGUGAGGAAAUGAAAACGGUCAAAAACAAAAGAAGAACAGUAUCCUUUUGGAAUCGUCUUGAUUCACCCAGAGAGUGAAUCUUAUUGAGUGAGAAAGGCCCGUUAGCAGCCUAUCGAAAGCGGUGUCUUUCUACUUUUGAGAAAUGCAUCUCCUCCUGCAGUCUAGCGUCUCUUUCCUCCUCACCUGCUCACCAAUACCUUCUCUCAUUUCUUUUCUUCAAGCCUCCUGAGCUAAGGCCAAUCUGUCUGCUCGCCAUCCAUCCACUUCAUCCCCAUCUUCUUCUUCUCUCCCAUCACUCCUCUUUCUCUGCUGCAUUUUUCUCCUCUCACCUUGCCGUCUCAUUUCUCCCUCCCUCACCCUCUUUUAAAAAGCCUGUUGCUGAUCCAUCAGCCUUGCUGCUGGAGUGCGCUCCCACUCCUUUCUCACGGCAAGUGAAGUCUCUUUCUGAAGAGGAAGGUAGCCUCUACUCCACUUCGAUACCAGCCAGUUAUUAAUUACUCCCCAAUUCCUCAUCUGUCUGCAGAGGGAAGUAAUUACGUCGCGGCCCGUUUCUCCCCCUUCGCCGGCAUCAGAAAUGACGCGAUAACCAGAAACCCAAAUUACUCCCGCUGAUGAGACAAUCAUUGAGCGAGAGAGAGCAGGCCAAAGAUUUUUCAGCCCCACUGUGCUUCGCCCUGUCAGAGUAAUGGCGCCUUGAUUCAGUCUGGGAUGUCUUCCCGACAUAUUCGCCGGGCGUUUCCAAUUUCCUUCUCGCAAAACACUAGAAGAUGGGUAGGGAGAGAUAGGCAGAAUGAAUUAAACACGGAUUUUCCCUCUGUCUUUCUGUUUUUUUCUUUUUCCUUCUCUGCUUCUCUAUUUUUUGCUCCUUAGAAGAGAGAGCAAUCAUGAGUUGUUUCCAGCUCCAAUCAGCGUUCUGCAGCUGGAGAGGAGUGAUGAUGGAAGAGGAACAUUAGCACCGGAUCCUCAUCUGCCUCUGAAGACAGAAGGAAGGAAGAAGUGAAAAAACAAUUAAAGAUUCUUUUCAUUUUCAGGCUUUCUGCGUGUUUUUCUUCAGACACACAGGUGUACCUUGAUAUAUUCUGACACUUCCUUCAAUCAGUGUGUGGAAUGUAUAUCAAUAAAUAAUUUUCC